GGGGUUUUAUGCCCUGAGCCCUGGAUUCCAUCCAAGCCACAAGGGGUUUAAUGCUCUGGGCUUAAAUUGUAGUGCGGCAGGGCAGCCUUCCACCCUUAAGCACAGAGCUUGGUGUUCCAUAGGCCACGAGGGGUUUUAGACCCUGGACCCAGGACAUGUUCCAGGACUUUUUAUAUUAUGUCAAGACUAGCAAGUCCUGCCUCAGCUCUUCUACCAACACAGCUCCUUUGGGUAAAUACCAAGGAGCAUGAUUGCUAGAUCAUAUGGUAAGAGUAUAUUUAGCUGUGUAGGAAACACCCAAACUGUCUUCCGAAUGGGCUGUACCAUUUUGCAUUUCUCCAGCAGUGUCUGAGAGUUUCUGCUGCUCACAUCCUUGUCAGCAUUUGGUGUUGUCAGUGUUCUGGAUUUUGGCCAUGCUAAUAGUUUCCUGUCUGAUUACACCGAGGAGAACAAAGUCAUUAAAGGCAAUUACCAUGUUAAUAGACAAGAGAUUGAGAAUGCUGAAGGUUGGAUCUUAAGUGUGCAAUGCAAUGAGGAUGGAGCAACGUAUACACCAAUCAAGAGAAAGAACAUGUCCAUUACCCCAAAAAGUUCUCUUACACCCGCUUCCAGGUGAUGCCCCUGGCAACCAUGAGUUUGGCUUGUAGCAUCAAGACUUUACCUGUUCUUGAAUUUCAAUAUAUGGAACCAGGCAGGAGCAUAAUUCAGCUUCUUUGAUUCACAGUUCUUGAGAUUCAUUCAUGCUGUUGUUUGUAUCAGUAGUCCGUAUAUUUUUUAAAUUAGUGAAUCAUAUUCCAUUAUGUAAACGUACCACAACUUCUCACAUUAUUCUGUUGAUGGACACACGACCUUUUCCAGUUUGGGUUGUUAUGGGAAAAGCAACUGUAAACAUUCUUAAGACUUUUUGUGGGCACUAUUGUUUGUUUUUGGUAAAUACCUACUAACAGCGGAAUUGCUGGAUCUUAGGGUUGGUGUAAGUUUACAUUUCUCAGAAACUGCUGAACUGCUUUCCAAAGUAACAUUUUGCACGUAUGAGAGUCUUAAUUCCUCCACAACCACUCCAACAUUGGGUGGUAUUGAUCCAUUUGAUGUUAGCCAUUGGAGUAGUAUGAAAUGCUUUUUGUGAAUGUAAUUUUGGUUUAGCUCAUGAACAAUGGUAUUGACCAUACUUUCAUGUGUUUAGUGGCCACUGGUAUAUUUUCUUUUUGAAACAUAUGUCUAAGUAUUUUGCCUAUUUAAUUUUGAAUUUUUUUCUUUUUACUGAGCUGUAAGAAUUACAUAAAUUCUGGAUCUAUGAUAAUCCUCAAGUAUACAUAUUCCAAAUAUUUUCUUUUACAAUGUGGUUUACAUUAUCAUUUGUUUAAUCAUAUAUUAUGAACAGAAUUUUUAAAAAAUCACAUCCAAUUAAUCAAAUUUUUCCUUUUAUGUUGAGUCCAUUUUGUGGACUAAAUAUCAUUGCUAUACCAAAGUCCUGAGGUUAUGCUCUAAUAUUUUCCUCUAGCAGCUCUCUAAUGUUAACUUUUAUAUUUAAGGCAGUGAUCCAUCUUAAAUUGAUGUUUUGGUGAUUUGUUAUGUAUUCUUGACAAAAUGAGCCUUUUAAUAUGUUUUUUAAGUCUUUCAUAAUCUCUGGUAAUAUUUCCAAUCUUGAAUUCAAUUUCAUCUGAUAUUAAUCUAAUUCUACCAGCUUCCUCAUUCUUACUUUUGUAUGCUAUAUCUUUCCUCCAUCUUUACACAGUUCUUUAUCUGAGACUUUAUAUUAUGUAGCUGAACCUGAUUUUUUUAUCUCAUCUUCCAGUCUCUGCUUUUUAACUGGAGUAUUCGGUCUAUUUAUAUUUAAGACAAUUACUGAUAUGAUUGGUCGUAGUUCUUCCGCCUUGCAAUGCAUUUUCAUUUUGUCUCGUGUGUCUUUUAUUCCUUUGUUUCUCACUUCCUAUAUUAUUUUGGGUCAGAUUAUUGCUAUUAGAAUUCCAAUUCAAUACUUUGAUUGAAUUUUGUUUCAAUAUUUAGUUAAACUGAAAUCUGUACUUGUACUGAAUUAAAAGUAGGACAGUAGAAAUAGUCCAAACCAAACGAGAAAAAUAUUUUAAAUUGUACUUUUUUAGUUAUACAUUAUAUUUCUUCUUAGUGGUUAUUUUAGGAAUUAAAAUAUGCAUUCUUAAUUUAUCACUGUCUGUUUAAAACCAUAAAUAUUACUUCACAUACAUUAUAGAAGCUGUCAGUGCAUAAAUUAACCUAUCUACCUGUGUUUUGCUAGUGUCAUAAUUUUUAUAAAGUAUUUGCUAUAAACUUCACAUUACAAUUAAAUCAUUUUUGCAUUAAAUAUCUAGUUUUAGAUAAAAUAAUAGAGGAAAAAAUACCAUCUUUUACAUCUGCCCACAUGUUUCUUAUUUUAUUUUUAUAUUUUUGAGGAAGUCUUUCUCUGUGGUCCACGCUGGAGUGCAGUGGUGCAAUCUCAGCUCAUUGCAACCUUCGCCUCCCAGGUUCAAGAGAUUCUCGUGCCCCAGCCCCUCGAGUAGCUGGGAUUACAAGUGUGUGCCACCACACACGGCUAAAUUUUGUAUUUUUAGUAGAGAUGGGGUUUUGUGAUGUUGGCCAGCCUGGUCUCAAACUCCUGGCCUCAAGUGAUCCUCCCCCAGUGACCUCCCAAAGUUCUGGGAUUACAGGCUUGAGCCACCCUGCCAGUUGCAUCUACCUACGUAUUUCUGUUCUUUCCUGUAGAUGUACAUUUCCAUCUGAUAUCAUUUUCCUUCAUGCUGAAAAUGUUUUAUGGCACAGGUCUACUGGUAAUUAAUCUUUUUCAGAUUUUAUUUAUCUUAAAAGUCUUCAUUUCAAAUUCAUGUUCUGCUUGAUAUAGACUUCUCAGUUAAUGAGUCUGAGUCUGUGUGCAUGUGUGUAUAUGAGUGUGGAAUGCUGAUUUCCAGAGUUGUGCAUUAUUUUCUGAUCAGGGUUGUUCUGAUAUAUCCAUUCUGCUUUCAUAGAAAUCAUAACUCUUAGAGCACUAUUUAAAAAUAUUAAUAAUUCAAGAUAGCAUAAAUCAACCUUUAUUAUUAUUUUUCAAAUUCAUAUACUAGGCAGGAAGUAAAAAGAGAAUUAAAUGUACAUUUGAAACAAAAGUAUAUUUGUAAAAAAUCUUACAUUUACUAAAUUAUAAUGCCAAUAUAGAUGGCCAUUAAAUUAAUCCUUACACUGGAAUUGGUAUCCAGUUAACAAUAAUUCUCAUUAUUAUUUAUAUUGGCCUAAAUUCAUUUUAUCUUUGCAAAAUAAAAUUAUGGAAUUCUAAAACCAAUCAUUAGUUGACAGGGAAGGUUGUCAACAGAAAACUACAAUUCAUAAAUACAAACAUAUUUUAUUAUUAAGUAUCAUAAUAUAUCAUUUAUUUGGUUUUAGUUGAAUAAAACAAGUUACCCCAGGUUUCUUUGCAUGUAUGAAAGAAAAUAAAAAAUGUUAUGACAAUACAAAAUAU
rnacentral:lncRNA from 1 species